UACAGAGGGUGCAAGCGUUAAUCGGAUUUACUGGGCGUAAAGCGUGCGUAGGCGGUUCGUUAAGUCGAUUGUGAAAGCCCUGGGCUUAACCUGGGAAUUGCAGUCGAUACUGGCGGACUAGAGAACGGUAGAGGGAGGCGGAACUCCAGGUGUAGCGGUGAAAUGCGUAGAUAUCUGGAAGAACACCGAUGGCGAAGGCAACCUCCUGGGCCUGUUCUGACGCUGAGGCACGAAAGCGUGGGUAGCAAACAGGAUUAGAUACCCCCGUAGUCC
rnacentral:rRNA from 1 species